ACGAACGCUGGCGGCAGGCCUAACACAUGCAAGUCGAACGCACUCUUCGGAGUGAGUGGCAGACGGGUGAGUAACGCGUGGGAACCUACCUAAUGGUACGGAAUAACUCGGGGAAACCCGUGCUAAUACCGUAUAAGCCCGAGAGGGGAAAGAUUUAUCGCCAUUAGAUGGGCCCGCGUUGGAUUAGCUAGUUGGUGAGGUAAUGGCUCACCAAGGCGACGAUCCAUAGCUGGUCUGAGAGGAUGAUCAGCCACACUGGGACUGAGACACGGCCCAGACUCCUACGGGAGGCAGCAGUGGGGAAUAUUGGACAAUGGGCGAAAGCCUGAUCCAGCCAUGCCGCGUGAGUGACGAAGGCCUUAGGGUUGUAAAGCUCUUUUGGCGGGGACGAUAAUGACGGUACCCGCAGAAUAAGCCCCGGCUAACUUCGUGCCAGCAGCCGCGGUAAUACGAAGGGGGCUAGCGUUGUUCGGAAUUACUGGGCGUAAAGCGCACGUAGGCGGAUUUGUUAGUCAGGGGUGAAAUCCCGGGGCUCAACCCCGGAACUGCCUUUGAUACUGCAAGUCUUGAGUCCGAGAGAGGUGAGUGGAAUUCCUAGUGUAGAGGUGAAAUUCGUAGAUAUUAGGAAGAACACCAGUGGCGAAGGCGGCUCACUGGGCCAUUACUGACGCUGAGGUGCGAAAGCGUGGGUAGCAAACAGGAUUAGAUACCCUGGUAGUCCACGCCCUAAAAGAUGUCAACUAGGUGUAUGGAGAAAAUAUU
rnacentral:rRNA from 1 species